UGCUAUCAAUCCCAUCUUAGCUGAUCGUUUCGUUGUUUCUGAUGAUAUUCUUCAGCAUAUGCGAAGAAGAAGACAGCUUAUGUGACAGAGCAGCAAACUGGUGUCAGUCAAGUCCAAGCUCACGAAUGGGAUAAGAUAUGAUCAAGGUCCACUAUCAAAUAGUAAAUGUUAUUAUCAAAGCUUCUACAAUUUGAGAUACAAUGAUCAUAUGAUGAGUAUGUAUGUAGUGCACCAAGGCUCUAACCAAGUUGCCAAGGAGAUGCCUCCGGUCGGUGGAAUGAACGACGACGACGACAUGGACUUGGGUGACGAUGCAUCGUUUCUGAAAGUCGGUGAGGAGAAGGAGAUCCAACAAGGCUUGAAGAAGAAGCUUAUUAAGGAAGGUGAAGGAUUCGAGACUCCUGAUAAAUUUAAGGCGAUGAAGUUGAAGGUAAACAUUUGAUUCCAUUUAAAAGCUGCUCCAGAUUUUGUCUAUGCUUGAUGGACGAUUCCAGCCGCGACAGACAGAGGAGGCACGCCUUUCAAAUUCACUCUAGCUAGGACAAGGUGACUAGUGCAUUGAAUCUCUUAUCUUUGAGGCCAUUGUUUAGCUUACUGUAACAUGGAGACUAGUUUGGAAGAUUUCAACUCGAAAACGAGUUCUCUGAAUUAUUGAGUUAAGAUGUAGUAAUUGUUGUUAAGCUCGAGUUCUCUGAAUGCUAUUGUUCAUAUGUGUCAUUGUUGGCUUAUUCUUCUUUUUCUCUUCCUGGCAUUGUGU